ensembl:lncRNA
CACGUACCUGUGUGUCCAUUAAGAGCAGCAGAGAUCAAGGCAGAGGUUAAUUUAUGUUGAUGGUGAUGAAUAUCCAAUAGUGGAUCUUGAUUAAGCAGCAUAGACAAUAAAGUGACAUUUCCCUGGGAAGCAGCUUGGAGGAGAAGGGUUUGCCCGUCAUCCAGGGGGACGGGGUCACCGCAGGUUAGCGAGGAGACUAUGGAGGGACACCAGCCUGGGAGGGUUCAAGCAACAGCAGUAACUAGUGAGGCAGCGUGCAAGUUUUGUGUAAAAAUGUGUUCUCUGAUCCGAAACAUUACCCAGAAGAACGACUCCAUUUGUCAUUCAGAAAUAAUUUAAGGCCACUGCCACUGGCGCAGUGCUGACUGAGACUACUUUUUUUGUAGUUCAGGAACCAAAUUACUCUCCAGAGAGAUGAACACACAAAAUUUAUGUUUAAGAGGAAAUGUGAAGCAAGCCAAAUUCAGUCUAAACAAAGGGUAAAUGUUUAUGCGAUGUACACAUUUUGACACAUUAUUGGAAACAUUAUUCUAAAGAGUUUAUCUGCAAUUCACAACCUCUAUCCUACUAAUUAGAUCCAUGAAGAUAAAGUAAACUUCAUCUGUUUUUAGAUCAGGUUAAAAUAAAAACAGUCAAAUAAAGGACAAAACACAACCGGACAAAUGAAAUCAGGCAGCAGGCAGUUUAUGGUAAAUUAAUCAAAGUCAUGCAUCACAGACUGUGUCAGUCAAACUUAAAACAUUCUAAACAUGGAGCUGAUUGUUUGAGACACGUCAAUUGGACAGAGUUAGAAAGACAGAAACUACAGCAGAAAAACAGAUGAAUUUUGACAAAGCACAAGGAAUACUAUUGGCUAAAGGGUACCUAUGUGAAAACAGAAUUCAAAUAACAUAUCUUACAGUGUGGAUGUACUGUAUCUAGUCUAGCAUCUAAUGCAUGUUUGUAAAUAGCUUUGUCUCUAGGGUUUCUCUAUGUUUAUCUUGGUUAGUGGACGGAGUUGAAGUGAGAAAGAUUGCAUUGAGGUCCAGAGGAAAGCAUAAGAUUAUUGGCUCUUUUCUGGGUUAAAAUGGGCGGCAGAGAGAGCAGAGGAGCCUCAGAGAACUGCCAUGGCUGAGUGGCUGCAGAGAGAGGGAGAAAAGUGCUAGUUUUUAAUAUUUAGCGAUGACAGCUAGCUACCGAAAUCUCUCAGAACUAUCCUGUGGAUUAGUCUCUAGUGACAAUGAAGAGGAAGACUCUGCUGGAAUACUUGCUCUGCUUUCACUGGCGUUACAUUUGUCUUUCUCUGGUGCUCUCAGAGAGCUAUGAAGAGGCCUGCAGAGACAGGGUGGUAUUUCAAAAUGUGAGAGACCUCUAAAGCUUCUGACACUGUUUCUAAGAGGAAAGUCUUACUGCAGUAUAUUUGGCUUACAUACCAAUGCAUGACUCUAACUAAUUGAUAUCUUAGUCAAAGCUUUUUUGGAGCCACCCUGCUGAAAAGAUCAGCAUAUGUUGUGCUUUUGAUGUUCACCAGAGUAGGAUGUUUUUGUACUGGUGUCUCUACCAGGCUUCUUAAUUAGCUUAACCAGCAAUACUUUUCAAGAAAGACCAUACUGUUUGACCAGUCACUAGCUAGACUAACAACAAAUUGGCACUAACCAAUCGGAUCAGCUAGGCCAUUAUGGAAGGUAUUGUUUUAUUCUAUGUCCAGUGUCCUGUACAGUUUAGCUCCAACCCCGAUCAAAUACAUUUGAACCAGCUAAUCAAGGUCUUCAGGAUCACUGCAAAUUCUCAGAAAGGUGUGCUGGAGCUAAACUUUGCUGAACAUUGACUCUACAGCAGCAGGAUCAGACAACUCUGUCGAACUGUGUACUAUUGUGUAGAACAAAUGCAGAGAGACAUAUUUAGGAAUAUUUAAGUACAAGACCUUGACAUACACAAUUAUAUUGGGUUAGUUGUCUAGGAAUGUCUUUGAAACCAUGGAAUUAAACAUGAAAAAUAUGCAGAGAAUGACACCACAUUCACAAGUUUCUCUGCAGUAGGGAAAACAAAGAAACAGAUGGCGGCAUGGACACGGUGGAGUGGUAAGUAUAAGACAUUAUGGGAAACAGGUUAGUGGUGGAACACAGGAGAAGCAGAACCAUGUUGUAGGUCAAUGGGAGGAAAGGGGAUAGAGCAGCCUCUGGCAUCAGCUUCAGAAUGGAUUACAGGAAAGACCCCUAGAGACCUGCGUUUCAAGAGAGGGUCAACCUGACCUAUUCGUAUCUAAAAGUGCUUUGGUGAAGUCAAGAAACUGUCCUGACAUUGGUAGGUGCCCUCAAGAAUCUUACAAAUAUUCUUAUCUUGGUUAUGUUAAAGUACUGCAUUUCAACCGGCAGGUAACCCUAGUAGUGUAAGAAUACUCCUCUCUUGGUUGCUCCAAGUCUAUGUCCCCCUCUGCUAGGACUUACUGAAGAAUAUAUCAAGUAUGGAAAAGCAGGGGAGUAGAGAGGAGAAGCAGUGAAAGCAAGAGAGGAGAAGCAGUGAAAGCAAGGGUGAAGAACGGAGCACCCUUUUACCUGAUGCUGCUGCCAGGGGGCUGCCCGGGUGCUGGGGGCUAUGGAACGAAAUGCUAGGUGGAUUUAUGGAGGGGCUACUGACAAUGGUAGCUGUGGCGGAGGUGGUGACAGGGGGACACUCCACACAUGCUGCUCUCGGCUGUGACCCCCAUGGCCAGCCAGUAAAGGAAGCACCCACCUGUGACGCAGUCAAGGCUGGGACUGUACCGCCCAAAUCUAUGGAGGGCUUUGGUGGAAGCUGAGGGGUGGCAGUUGAUUUGGCAAGGCCCAGUCCUGUUCCUGGGGACCUGCUGGCUUCACCUACUACUUUGAUUGGUGGGUGUACACAUUGCAUACUAGACUAUAUUCCGAGAAUAACUAGGAACACCUCAGCAAACCUCCAAAAGCAAACUUAAUCACGUCAGGGUAAUCCUACAGGAAAGGCGGACUUAUUUCAGAUAGAAUAUGCAAAUACUCUUUGAAUAAAUCACACAAAAUCCUUUCUGUGGUCUUGCUCUGUUUAACAUAUACAUACACAAUUAAACACACAAUUUGAGGUCUUACCCUUUUCUGUCUGGUCUCAGCAGCCGAAAGCUGGGCAGACAUCCUCUCCUGCAUCUUACGGCAAUGGGCCAUAACAGCUUCCAGCACAGUAAUGGGACUCGCGCUAACAGGCCUGCGGUCCUUUGACCCCGUCCCUGACUCAAAGUCCCUCUGCAGGGCAAGGAAUGGGUCCGUAAGACUGAACUGUCCAUAUCUCUCCUGCAGGAACACUUCUUUCCUUCGUGCCUAUUAAGAAAAAAAUACAAUAGAUUGGUGAGCUUAUUUAUAGGAACAUCAUGUCCAUUUUCUGGUUAAGAUUUUCAAUAGCUUUGCAUUUUCACAACUGUCAGUAUCUAAUAUCAAAAUCACCCUUGUGUGGACACACACAAACACACACACACACACACACACACACACACACACACACACACACACACACACACACACACACACACACAUAUUUAAAUAUUCAUUUAUGACCCCAAAUUCUGAUCAAUAUAGGAAUACAGUAUGCAAGUUGUUCUAUGUUAUUCAGAUUUCCAGAAAAAAAGAUUAUUGCCUUUAUCUGGUUAUGACGAUCAGGUUAUUUUUUUAUUUUAUUUACAAAUUUAAAACUUUUAGAGGACAAGAGGUAAAUACAUAUCCUAGCAACAUUAUGAUACAAAUGUGGUGCAUGUGGGAAGAGGGCAAGUCAUUGUGAAAUAAUGCAGAGCAAUUAUUACACAUUAUGUUCCCUCGUGAUGCAUGUUCAGUAAGCGUUGGGGGUGAGAAGAAAUGUCUUGCUGAUUUAAUGUGCUUUGGAUUGUUCUGUGUGGGUACUUUAGUGUACAAACAAUCGUGUACUGUUAAUUAAGGUGAAUAUUAAUAACAAAAGAAUCCUUUACGCUCUUCUACUCUCUGAUGCACACACCCAAAAACCACUUAAUACAGUAUAUCCUCACACUCAAACAUAAAAGCACACACAGAGAGCAGUUUAGCACUUCUUCAGGGGUGAUCAUUAAGCCUGACGUUUACUUAGGCCCUGUCAAGAACAGCUGAUCAUCUCAGCAGGGUCAGCAAAAGGCCAGCCUUGUCAAAACUCCCCCAUGGCAAACAAUCAGAUACAAAUGUGAUAUUUUUCGUGACACAAAUCAACACAGAUGAGGGACACUGUAUUUCACUGCAAGGAGAUGCUACACAGAUUCAGGGGCGCAGCAACCAUAUUAACUGUAAAUUGGGUCAAAAGGCUAAAAAGUUGCAUCUGCAUUGGGCCGAAAGAUGCAUCUUCAUCACAAUACAAGAAAAAUUCUGUAAAGAAAUAAUACAUUUUAAUGGUAAAAUACUGUAAAAUUGCUACCGUAAAAACCUGUUAAUUGUUUAACAGCAAAUUCCCUUACUAUAUUCAGAUAAAAACUGUAAUAGAUAUAGUAGACAGGACAUUUCAUGCAAUUUUACAGUAAAUAUUGUUAAAUGUACAGUUUUGGGAAGUGAAAAGCAAGUAAUUUACAGUGAAAAAAAUGCAAACUGACAUUCCCAGAAUUCCUUCACAUUUGAUGGUUUUUCAUUUAAUUGUUUAUUCUAGGUUUUUUGUUAACACUUAUGUACGGUAGGGUUUUAUGUGAACUCAUAUGUUGUUAAAUGUCAUGUUUGUUGUCAUGAAUGGUGUUUUAUAUUUGUGUGCCACUGUGAACCUUCUACAUAUUAGUAUUUGUGGAAAUCUACUUGUGAUGAUCAUGUGGCUUUCUUUACCACCUGUGUUUUUAUGGUGUCUGUCUCCUUAUUAUUAAGGUACAAACAAAUUUUAGUAUUUUGGUGUAUUAACAUUAUAUCAGUUAUGAUAUGUUUUUUAUAAAGGGGUUAUAUGAUGUGAUUUCAAGUUUUCCUUUCUCUUUAGACUGUUAAGAGUUGUCCACGCCCUCCUAAAACGCCUCGUUUAAACACGCUCCCAACAUGUCUACAUCACUGUGUGGGAAGAUUUGCACAACACCGCCAAAAUGUUCACACAAAGAACGAAGGUGUAAAUUUGAUUCUCGCGGUUGCCGCCGCCGCCGCCAUGUCGUGGAGACGCUGUGUGUUUGUUGUGAAAACGCAACUACUUUGUUUUGGCCUUCCAAAAGAGGACAGAUAGAAAUCAGUGGGUAAGUUGUAAUUACAACACUGUUCCAGAACAGUUCAACCCAAAUAUUCAGAUUCUGACUCACAGCCUGUAAGUACGUUUUCAUAUUUAAAGAAUUUGCCACUGAUGAUUCAAACGUGAGUUUUGAGCAGUGUAGAGUAGCGCUUGUUGUUUAUUGUUUCUCCGAUCACAAAUGCAGACAUGGUUUUAUGUUUAUGCUGCGCGAUAAGUCAUAAGACAGUAUAAGUCAUUAUAAUCAGAAAUUGUGUCCCCACUGGAUGCCAUAAAUGCCUCUUUUAAUAGGUUUUAUUGGUUUUGUCUUGUCGCGUAGGGACACAGCAUCACAGUAUAGUGAGGGGCGUAACAUUUCUGUCACACACUUCAGGUAUUCGGCCAAUCACCAUACACUGGAUAGCUGGCCAAUCAGAGCACACCUCGCUCUUCAGACAAAAAAGCUUUGUAAAAAUCAACAUAUUUCAGAAAGGCGGGGCAUAGAGGAGCAACAAUAAAGUACAGUAUGUGGAAAAAAAUGUGUUUUUUUGAACUUUAAACCACAUAAACACAUUG